CUAAUGUAGGUUUUGAGAUCAGAUGUAUGAUCACACUACUUCAUUUGUAUGUUUAAACUUCUAUUUGAUGUGCCUCCAUAGUUUGUGAUGACAAUGAAAUAAAAAAAAUUCAUUGACAGCAUCUUGCAUUAAAAAAAAAAAAAGGGUUCUAUAUUUUGAGGCAUAAGAUCUAUUUUAGGUUCUAGCACAUUAUAGAAAUGACCUUUAAGAAAAAUUAUCAAACCAAAGUUUACAGUAAUAAACAACGUAGAUUUUGUUCAAACUUCAAAUUAUUCUUACUUCUUGCUUCAAUUAGUAUGAGUUAACAAUUAAACUGUAUAUGAAUUUAUGGAAGC
rnacentral:misc_RNA from 1 species